rnacentral:ncRNA from 3 species
UACGGAGGGUGCGAGCGUUGUCCGGAAUCACUGGGCGUAAAGGGCGCGUAGGCGGCCUGAUAAGUAGGGGGUGAAAUCCUGCGGCUUAACCGCAGGGCUGCCUUCUAAACUGUCAGGCUCGAGCACAGUAGAGGCAGGUGGAAUUCCCGGUGUAGCGGUGGAAUGCGUAGAGAUCGGGAAGAACAUCAGUGGCGAAGGCGGCCUGCUGGGCUGUUGCUGACGCUGAGGCGCGACAGCGUGGGGAGCAAACAGG